CCUUGACAUACUAAGAACUUUCAGAGAUGGAUUGGUGCCUUCGGGAACUUAGAUACAGGUGCUGCAUGGCUGUCGUCAGCUCGUGUCGUGAGAUGUUGGGUUAAGUCCCGCAACGAGCGCAACCCUUUUCCUUAUUUGCCAGCGGGUAAUGCCGGGAACUUUAAGGAUACUGCCAGUGACAAACUGGAGGAAGGCGGGGACGACGUCAAGUCAUCAUGGCCCUUACGGCCAGGGCUACACACGUGCUACAAUGGUCGGUACAAAGGGUUGCUACCUCGCGAGAGGAUGCUAAUCUCAAAAAGCCGAUCGUAGUCCGGAUCGCAGUCUGCAACUCGACUGCGUGAAGUCGGAAUCGCUAGUAAUCGCGGAUCAGAAUGCCGCGGUGAAUACGUUCCCGGGCCUUGUACACACCGCCCGUCACACCAUGGGAGUUUGUUGCACCAGAAGUAGGUAGUCUAACCGCAAGGAGGACGCUUACCACGGUGUGGCCGAUGACUGGGGUGAAGUCGUAACAAGGUAGGCGUAGAUGA
rnacentral:rRNA from 1 species